ncrna:Aegilops tauschii miR5070 stem-loop (ata-MIR5070)
AAGGGUACCUUCUGACCCUUCUUAGUUCAACCAAAUAAACUAAUUUUUCCUAAUUUAGUUCAUUCAGUUGAACUAAGUAGGGUCGGAGGGUACCCUG